rnacentral:rRNA from 1 species
GAUGAACGCUAGCUACAGGCUUAACACAUGCAAGUCGAGGGGAAACGACAUCGAAAGCUCGCUUUUGAUGGGCGUCGACCGGCGCACGGGUGAGUAACGCGUAUCCAACCUGCCCACCACUUGGGGAUAACCUUGCGAAAGUAAGACUAAUACCCAAUGAUAUCUCUAGAAGACAUCUGAAAGAGAUUAAAGAUUUAUCGGUGAUGGAUGGGGAUGCGUCUGAUUAGCUUGUUGGCGGGGUAACGGCCCACCAAGGCGACGAUCAGUAGGGGUUCUGAGAGGAAGGUCCCCCACAUUGGAACUGAGACACGGUCCAAACUCCUACGGGAGGAAGCAGUGAGGAAUAUUGGUCAAUGGGCGAGAGCCUGAACCAGCCAAGUAGCGUGCAGGAUGACGGCCCUAUGGGUUGUAAACUGCUUUUAUAAGGGAAUAAAGUGAGCCUCGUGAGGCUUUUUGCAUGUACCUUAUGAAUAAGGACCGGCUAAUUCCGUGCCAGCCGCCGCCGUAA